UACGUAGGGUGCGAGCGUUACUCGGAAUUACUGGGCGUAAAGUGUGCGCAGGCGGCCGCGCAAGUCGAGUGUGAAAUCCCCGAGCUUAACUUGGGAAUUGCGCUCGAAACUACGUGGCUGGAGUGUGGCAGAGGAAGGUGGAAUUCCACGUGUAGCGGUGAAAUGCGUAGAUAUGUGGAGGAACACCGAUGGCGAAGGCAGCCUUCUGGGCCAACACUGACGCUCAUGCACGAAAGCGUGGGGAGCAAACAGG
rnacentral:rRNA from 1 species